AGGCAGCAGUGAGGAAUUUUGGGCAAUGGGCGAAAGCCUGACCCAGCAACGCCGCGUGAAGGAUGAAGUAUUUCGGUAUGUAAACUUCGAAAGAAUGGGAAGAAUAAAUGACGGUACCAUUUAUAAGCUCCGGCUAACUACGUGCCAGCAGCCGCGGUAAUACGUAGGGAGCAAGCGUUGUUCGGAUUUACUGGGCGUAAAGGGCGCGUAGGCGGCGCGGUAAGUCAGCUGUGAAAUCUCCGAGCUUAACUCGGGACGGCCAGCUGAUACUGCAGUGCUAGAGUGCAGAAGGGGCAAUCGGAAUUCUUGGUGUAGCGGUGAAAUGCGUAGAUAUCAAGAGGAACACCUGAGGUGAAGACGGGUUGCUGGGCUGACACUGACGCUGAGGCGCGAAAGCCAGGGGAGCAAACAGGAUUAGAUACCCCGGUAG
rnacentral:rRNA from 1 species